CUUUUUUGUUGGUGGAUGCAGGGAAGGAGAGGAGGAUGACGCCCAGACAUGGAUAGGAACAGCAGCAGCUCAAGAAAAAUGAAGCAAGACAAGCUGGAGAAGCUCGCACGGACAUCCAAUUUCUUGUACCACUCAACUGAGCCGAGUUACUUGUGGAGACUAUAAGAAGAAUUUUUAGGAAGAGUUUGAUCAAGAAGAGCAAGGCUGACACCCAUAGUUGUUUGGCAUCAAAUGCAGAAGAUACACAUCCUAAGAUUGAAGCAAUGCUACCUGAACCAAAGGGUUGUACGCCCACCAUUAGUAAUAUUCCAUACUAUUCGUGUUCGUCAGAUCCCAAUAAUUUAUCCGGUCUUGCUUUUGACAUAAAACACAAGUACAAGCAAAGAGAAGACGAGGUCGAACCCCAACACCGGAAGGUAUCUUGGCACCAAACCAUCAUGAGGAGAAGGGGAUGUGUUGAUGUACAUGAGGUGUUAAUAAAGUUUCACAUUCUUUGUUCUGGUAGAUUUGGUGUGUUGGGUUGCCAUGUUUGCUGUAUUUAUUUUCCUUAGAUUGCUCUGGUGUUUUUGGUGCAAAUUGACCAGGGAGGGCCUAAGAUUUUGUCAAGUUUUUGUUAGGUUAUUCUAUGUAUAGGACUGCGCUUCUAUGUGUCGUUUCCUUCAAACUGUCAUUGUA